UGAAUUGUAUAAUUUUUUUAAUUUGCGCUUUUGAAAUGAGGAAUGUGCUGUUUCAUAACAGAAGUUUUCUUCAUUACACUUUCUACAGAAAAUCAAGCCACAGUAAACAACAGUACUGAAACCUGGAGAAUAAAUGAGGCUUACACCGUCAACAAACUUGCCCUGACUUAUCUAUUACAAACAUUUACACAGUAAAUACACAAAUAAGUGACAAAGAAAAUAAGCAUUAUAUGACUGCUAAGAAAUGAAAAAAAUAACUCACUCACAGAAAAUCUACAAACUGUGCACAGUUAUAUUUUACACUUCAUUUACUUUCAUGUAAAUUGACUGGUGCUCACAGGCCUUGAUUGUAAAAGAAUUUAAAUCUCUGGGUUUAGCUAUUAUGACUUGUGGAAAUUUCAAUUUGAAUUCAUGUUAAAGUGGCCAUCAGUAAGCUACACCACAUGUUACUACUACUCUCUGUGAGGCCAUAAAAUAGAGAGGAAGCAGAUGUAAAGGACACAGUUUUAGUGCCUGUGGUUAAUAUUUGACUGUUAAAGUGGAAAAAAAUACACCACAAAGAGGUUACUGCAGAGACCAGAGAAGUUGAAAUCGAGCUAAAUGCUUGUUUUGACACACAUUUUGUUCAUUUGACUUUUAAAAUGUAAUUUUAAAACUUAAUGAGCAGUGCGUUCUCAUUAUCAACAAAAUUAUCUGUGCUUACCGCUGUUGAGGUUAUUACUCGAGAAAUAAAUAAACAUAUUACACAGAACACCUUUCUUAGAAGUAAUGCAGUAGUUUACUAAAAGUUAAUUUGUUACAUUAUUCAUUAUGUUACUUUCAUGUUACUCUGAAAAACGACCUGAAACAAAUUCUCUCAUAAUUACUUUUUAACAAUAUAAACCUAAAGGCUUCAGCCCCACAUCCAUCACUGGUCCUUACAGAGUACAGAAAACAUCCUCCCCAGUGUUUCUGUGUUGACUGAAUGCUUAACCUCAACAGCUAAUAAUGAACUCAGAUGUUGGAAGUUUAACAGUGUACGAUCUCUGAUUGGCUUCCAUGUGUGCAGAGUCUAUAGCAGGUAUCGAGCAAGUCGGUGACAUUAAUGAACUGCUAAAGGUUGCUAUGGCUUAUGGUGCUUAAGAAAUGUGUUGGUCCAGUUUUCACUGAAAACAGAAAAAGAGGUCGAAGUUAAAGCAAGAACUGAAUUAUGAAGAACAGAAGAAAAUGUAAAACACACAGUGGUCUGCAUCUAGUGAAUUUAUUCAGAAAUUAAUGAAAGUUAUUUGACAAAUUACAUUUUUGCAGAAAGCAUCUACACUUAUUAUGCAAAGAACACAGAUGCACUUUUGAUUUGUCAUUAGUUUCAGUUUACUUCAGUUAAUUCAGUCAUGUUAGCUUAUCGAGCUCCCAACCCAGUCCAGCCACAAAAGGCUCCAGUGAACACCUCACUAAUGAUGAGUCGGCUAAAAGCUUGAAGGGAAAAAAAAAAGAUGCUUUUGAAAAUAUAAAAUAUGCUUACAUAACUCCUCCCUUGCCACUUGCACUUGCACAACUCCUGCUAGUUUCUGUUUCUUAAUAUAAAAUUAUAAUUAUAAACAUUUUAUAGGAUCAUGUGGGAAUACGGCAUUAAAAAAAUAAUAAUAAUUUUCAGAAGAGAAUGAGGCCAAAAACUAUUAUUUAAACAUUUGAUGGUCUCAAUAACAAAUGUAAGCUAUGACCAGUGUAUGACAAUACACUACUCCACUAUACACUACUUUAGUGUUUACUGUAAAAAGUUGAAAUCAGCUUAGAAGUAAAUGAUUCUAGAAAAUAGCUUCGUUUUCUAAAACAUAAUAAGAGUCUACUAACCUUUUGUUGAGUUAAUGUUUUCUCCAGAAAAUAAUCCUUUUUUCCUUUUACUGUUGGUUCCACCAAACUUUUUUUUAAAAAAAAGAAGUUUGAAAGAAAUCUCUGUUGUUAUUGGUCAGUUUUUCCUGCGUUGGAUCACUGCUGCAAAAUAAUUUACAGUACAGACAAAUUACAGCAGUGAAUGUACACUCUCCCACAAUCCUUUGCUUUGUGCAGUAAAAUAAUUUAAAAACAUUUUAGAGUAUCUUAUACAUACAUAUCCCUGUAAAAAUACUGUUAAAUUUACUAAAACCAUUUACAGUGUACUAUGGCCGAUUAUUAAGCCCCCCCCCCAAAAAAAGAGAAUAAAGACAAAAUUUCGAGAUUAAAGUUGUUUCAAGACAAACUGCUAUGCCCUCCACAACAUGCCGUGUUUUUAUGAGUUAGUGAAACAUCCUAUCAUGUCUGUGAUGCAACAAACAUCCUCUUUAUUGCCUGUUUUAACCAUCCUCAUUAUGGAUAAACCUGCAUCUGUCCAUUACCAGACUUUUCAUUUUGUUCAACUCCACUCUUUCAAAAUGCAGCUGUCUGCACCAGUUUUUCUUUUCAGUGUCUUUAACCUGAUCAACACAUAGUGCAGAGUCUAUAGCAGGUAUCGUACAAGUUAGUGCCAUUUUACUCAAUCAGAUGGAGUUAACGAACUGCUGGUCCAGUUGUCACUGAAAACAAAAAAAGUAGUCGAAGUUAAAGCAAGAACUGAAUUAUGAAGAACAGAGGAAAAUGUAAAACACACAGUGGUCUGCAUCUAGUGAAUUUAUUCAGAAAUGAAGCAACAACACGGAAAUGCUGGGUACAUACAUGUAAUACAUGUACAUACAUGUAAUAUGAGGCCCAGUAACUAAUUUCAAAGAGAUGUUUGGGACUUAAAAGAAAGGGUAUAAAUUCAGGGUGGUGUUAGUCGUAUUAUUAUAAUUAUUAUUAUUAUUAAGGGGUAUUUCACCCCACACUGCGGGCAGGUGGGUGGGCUGAGUGGAAAUCCAAUUCUGUAAACACAAAAACUCAAGAACAAAGUGGUGCAGGAUUUUGAAACUGAUAGCAAAGGUGCUGCUACUGAAAAUCUCAAAGGAUUUCACAUCUCUGAAGUUUACCAAAAAUCUCGUGAACACAAGUUGAUUUGUUUAAAUACACCUUUGACAAAUAACAGGCAAUGAGGCAUCAUCACUGUUUGGUCAUGUAUGCUGUCAUAACAAUGGAAGUAAGCAUUUGCUGUGAUUAAGAGAUCGUUUUUACAAUAAAACUUAAUAAAUAAAUAAAUAAAUUAUGUUUGCUUCUGGUGACAUAGAUGUUUCAUGGGUGACACAAGGCUGUUCCACGACUAAAGAUUCUACUGUAAAAUGU
ensembl:lncRNA